AGUGAACGCUGGCGGUAGGCCUAACACAUGCAAGUCGAACGGCAGCACAGUAAGAGCUUGCUCUUACGGGUGGCGAGUGGCGGACGGGUGAGGAAUACAUCGGAAUCUACUUUUUCGUGGGGGAUAACGUAGGGAAACUUACGCUAAUACCGCAUACGACCUACGGGUGAAAGCAUGGGAUCUUCGUAUCUUGCGCGAUUGAAUUAGCCGAUGUCGGAUUAGCUAGUUGGCGGGGUAAAGGCCCACCAAGGCGACGAUCCGUAGCUGGUCUGAGAGGAUGAUCAGCCACACUGGAACUGAGACACGGUCCAGACUCCUACGGGAGGCAGCAGUGGGGAAUAUUGGACAAUGGGCGCAAGACUGAUCCAGCCAUACCGCGUGGGUGAAGAAGGCCUUCGGGUUGUAAAGCCCUUUUGUUGGGAAAGAAAAGCAGCAGGUUAAUAACCCGCUGUUAUGACGGUACCCAAAGAAUAAGCACCGGCUAACUUCGUG
rnacentral:rRNA from 1 species